AGCAGUAGCCACGGUAAUGCGUAGGUGGCAAGCGUUGUCCGGAUUUAUUGGGCGUAAAGCGAGCGCAGGCGGUCAAUUAAGUCUGAUGUGAAAGCCCCCGGCUCAACCGGGGAGGGUCAUUGGAAACUGGUUGACUUGAGUGCAGAAGAGGAGAGUGGAAUUCCAUGUGUAGCGGUGAAAUGCGUAGAUAUAUGGAGGAACACCAGUGGCGAAGGCGACUCUCUGGUCUGUAACUGACGCUGAGGCUCGAAAGCGUGGGUAGCAAACAGGAUUAGAUACCCGAGUAGUCCCUGUCUCUUAUAC
rnacentral:rRNA from 1 species